rnacentral:rRNA from 1 species
CAAAAAUGUGGGCGUCCUACACAUGCAGUCGACGGGUUAGGGGUUGUCCUUAAUUUAGUGGCGCACGGGUGAGUAACGCGUGGGUAACCUGCCCUCGAAUUUGGGAUAACUUGCCGAAAGGUGGGCUAAUACCGAAUAAGACCACUUCUCCUCGGAGGAGUGGUAAAAGGUGGCGCAAGCUGCCGUUUGAGGAUGGGCCCGCGUCCGAUUAGCUAGUUGGUAGGGUAAUGGCCUACCAAGGCUGUGAUCGGUAGCUGGUCUAAGAGGAUGAUCAGCCACACUGGAACUGAGACACGGUCCAGACUCCUACGGGAGGCAGCAGUGGGGAAUUUUGCGCAAUGGGCGAAAGCCUGACGCAGCAACGCCGCGUGGGUGAUGAAGGCUUUCGGGUCGUAAAGCCCUGUCGGAUGGAAAGAAACGGCUGGAUGCUAAUACCAUUCAGCCUUGACGGUACCAUCAAAGGAAGUCACGGCUAACUCUGUGCCAGCAGCCGCGGUAAUACAGAGGUGACAAGCGUUGUUCGGAAUUAUUGAGCGUAAGGCGCGUGUAGGCGGUUUGUUAAGUCAGAUGUGAAAGCCCAGGGCUUAACCCUGGGAGUGCAUUUGAUACUGGCGAACUUGAGUACGGGAGAGGGUAGUGGAAUUCCGAGUGUAGAGGUGAAAUUCGUAGAUAUUCGGAGGAACACCGGUGGCGAAGGCGGCUACCUGGACCGAUACUGACGCUGAGGACGCGAAAGCGUGGGGGGGCAAACAGGAUUAGAUACCCUGGCUAGUCCACGCCGUAAACGAUGGGCACUAGGUGUAGGAAGUAUUGACCCCUUCUGUGCCGGAAGCUAACGCAUUAAGAUGCCCCCGCCUGGGGAGUACGGCCGCAAGGC